ensembl:misc_RNA Metazoa_SRP Metazoan signal recognition particle RNA
GCCGGGCGUGGUGGCUCACGCCUGUAAUCCCAGUACUUUGGGAGGCCGAGGUGGGUGGACCACCUGAGGUCAGGAGUUCAAGACCAGCCUGACCAACAUGGAGAAACCCCAUCUCUA